CCUACCCAAUAACCAAAAUAAAGUUAUAAUAUAAAGCAAUGAUAAAUAUUUCAAUGUGACACUAUAUGAUCAUCCGUAUAGUCGCAAAAGCACUAGUAUGUAAUCGGAGUAAAUCAUGUUGACAACGAUAAGAAAAAUUGUAUAGUUUUUAUCGUAAAUGACGCGGCGUUGUUAUGAUCGAAUGUCAACACGGCACAUGUCAAUAACGCAUUAUAAUAUACCCGCCCCUCGUGAAUAUUAUUUCAGCUUCCUUCUUAAUCGUUAAAUCGGGUUGAACCUCACACAGAAAUAUGAUUCGCACGAGUUCCUGGAUCUGGUGAACAUAUCAUAGGCACCAACUUAUCACCGACGACGGAAAUUACUAUUAAGAGGGGUUCAAUCAAUUUUUCAUAUAUUAGGGACGGCGCGAACGCAGUCCCAGCUACCAAAAAUUAUGCGCCCGAGGUAUCCACAUUAGGGAUACUCGCAGGGGUCAACCUACUCUAUGUGCAAUGAGUAAGUCUCUCCCCGGAGGAACCGCCAAAUUUGAUCACGGUUGACCUCUACGCCAGGUAAG